rnacentral:sRNA from 1 species
AGUGUAAAAAAAAUUUUUUUUAUCGAACUGUAGAUAGGUGAUCAUUUAUCAAAUAUUGCUGUAAGCCUGUACUAUUUGAAUGUGUUAUGCUAGGUAUUGUGGAUAUACAGUGGUGAUUACAGCAUCUUUUUCUUGAGCUUUUAGUAGUUUAUUAUGAUUACAGAUGAACAAAAAAUCAGUUAAGGAAGAAAAUCAGUUUUUAUGCUGAAAAGUUUUACUCACAUAUUUCUGUUAGGUUUUUGGAAAACUUAAAUAUUGGUAAAAAUACGUUUUUAGGUAUACAUGUUUAGAAAUAGUUGUUUCAAGUUCAGAAAAAAAAAACCUUAUUGAGGUUGAUCAGCUAUUUACCUCGGAUCUAAAAGAAAAUUGGUAGGAACUGCAGUUGCCGUAGUUGUAUAUUAAAUUCUUAAUUUUUUUGGAUAAGCGGUGUCCUAGCAGGUUGUGGUUAAAAUGUAAGUAUUGCAUAAUGAGUCUGAUACUGUCUGUGAUAUGUGGUUAUGUUUCACUGUAUUCACGCCAUGUGUUUUGUCUAGCACAUCUCCAUAUAUUGAGAAGCGAUAGAGCAUUGUUCUGAAAUCAGAAAGAAAGUAAUAAUUAAUUCCAAGAAAAUCAGUGUGAAGUCAGGUAUAAAAGGAAUGUAAUAUGUUCACCUUUAAUUGUUUCAAGUUAAUAGUCAAGCUUCCUGCAUGUGUAAUUUUAUGUAACAGUGAGAUUCCUAAGAAAAUGUGAACCAAAGAAUUGAAACAUACUUAUUUUUUGUAGUUGCUUUGAAUUACGGAAUUUAUAAGCAGGAUCUCCCAAGCCUGGAUGAGAAACCUCGGAUAGUGGUUUUUGUUGAUAUGGGACAUUCAGCUUUUCAAGUGUCUGCUUGUGCUUUUAACAAGGGAAAAUUGAAGGUAAAGUCAUACAUUGGAACUCAGUGUCCAACACACGUUAAGUGUUGUGACUUUAAGCUACUGAGCCUCUCUACUAGGCUUUUUCUUCUUGGUAAUGAAGAGUUUUAUUUUAGAUAAAGAUGUUAACAAGAAACAGUUGCUAAGGUUGAGCUCCAUAAAGAUGAUGUAAUUGUCUUAGCAUACUCCUAAGUGUUAUUUAGGAAAGAAAAGGCUUUUUACAGUUAUUUUCUAUGUAGUCAUUUAAAAGUCAAAAAUAUCUUAGAGAUUUAUUCCUGACUGAUUUGGAUUUCAUGUUAUAAUUUAAAUAUAGUCUUGAGUCUCUUGGUCUUUGAUUGUUUGAGUAGUAAUAUUUAAGAUUCUAGUUACAAAUGUGAUUGAAAAUAACCAGACUAUUUGUUGUUUCAACCAAAUUAGGUACUGGGAACAGCUUUUGAUCCUUUCUUAGGAGGAAAAAACUUCGAUGAAAAGUUAGUGGAACAUUUUUGUGCAGAAUUUAAAACUAAGUACAAGUUGGAUGCAAAAUCCAAAAUACGAGCACUACUACGUCUGUAUCAGGAAUGUGAAAAACUGAAAAAACUAAUGAGCUCUAACAGCACAGACCUUCCACUGAAUAUCGAAUGCUUCAUGAAUGAUAAAGAUGUUUCCGGAAAGAUGAACAGGUCACAAUUUGAAGAACUCUGUGCUGAACUUCUGCAAAAGAUAGAAGUACCCCUUUAUUCACUGUUGGAACAAACUCAUCUCAAAGUAGAAGAUGUGAGUGCAGUUGAGAUUGUUGGAGGCGCUACACGAAUUCCAGCUGUGAAGGAAAGAAUUGCCAAAUUCUUUGGAAAAGAUAUUAGCACAACACUCAAUGCAGAUGAAGCAGUAGCCAGAGGAUGUGCAUUACAGUGUGCAAUACUUUCCCCGGCAUUUAAAGUUAGAGAAUUUUCCGUCACAGAUGCAGUUCCUUUUCCAAUAUCUCUAAUCUGGAACCAUGAUUCAGAAGAUACUGAAGGUGUUCAUGAAGUGUUUAGUCGAAACCAUGCUGCUCCUUUCUCCAAAGUUCUCACCUUUCUGAGAAGGGGGCCUUUUGAGCUAGAAGCUUUCUAUUCUGAUCCCCAAGGAGUUCCAUAUCCAGAAGCAAAAAUAGGCCGCUUUGUAGUUCAGAAUGUUUCUGCACAGAAAGAUGGAGAAAAAUCUAGAGUAAAAGUCAAAGUGCGAGUCAACACCCAUGGCAUUUUCACCAUCUCUACGGCAUCUAUGGUGGAGAAAGUCCCAACUGAGGAGAAUGAAAUGUCUUCGGAAGCUGACAUGGAGUGUCUGAAUCAGCGACCACCAGAAAACCCAGACACUGAUAAAAAUGUCCAGCAAGACAACAGUGAAGCUGGAACACAGCCCCAGGUACAAACUGAUGCUCAACAAACCUCACAGUCUCCCCCUUCACCUGAACUUACCUCAGAAGAAAACAAAAUCCCAGAUGCUGACAAAGCAAAUGAAAAAAAGGUUGACCAGCCUCCAGAAGCUAAAAAGCCCAAAAUAAAGGUGGUGAAUGUUGAGCUGCCUAUUGAAGCCAACUUGGUCUGGCAGUUAGGGAAAGACCUUCUUAACAUGUAUAUUGAGACAGAGGUAAGUACUUCAAUUAAAUAUUUUUAUUUUGAAAUAUAUUUAGUUUCUUGGCCCUGAUAUCUAUAUUUCUAGUAGAUAAAUGGCCAUAAUUCUUUCUCAUCCCAGGUUUUAUAUAGUUUUAGGGAUAGGAUGAAGCCAAAACUAACGAAUUUUGCAGUUUAAUUUUUUUUAACAAAAAAAAUCAUUCUGCUUGAUAGAUCAUUCUGCUUGAUAUAACAUGAUUGAGUUCUUGUGAAAAAAUUGGAUGGCAGUAAAUCAUAACAGAACACAGUACAGUUGGAAUUUCACGGCACACUAAAUAUUUCUAUUAAAAUACAUUGUGUUUUUUUAGUAGUCUGAAAUUCUAGAAUAAUAUGUGAAAUAAUUGAGAUUUGGUUUUUCCAUACUGAGGUGGGAACAUUGUAUUUAGGAGUUUAUUUAACAAUAAACUGUAGUUCAUUUAUUUAUCUUUGAUUUAAAAAUGUGGCAGAGUGGUGUGACUGUUAUACAUUGGCCAGUAUUAAUCUGAAUAUGGAUAACCAUUUAUAUACAAGAAAACAAAAAUACAUUUAAGCAGUAGCUUUUUUUUUUUUUUUUUAGCAUUAAAUAUGAAGUCUGUGUAAUCUGUUACAAUGUUAAAAAAAUCAAACUUCAGCCUGAAUAUUUAGAAAAUGGAAAUGUCUGUUUGGUUUGUAGGAAGAGUCUGACGAGGUAUAAAUUGGAACUGUGUUAACACUAAAAUUUGUUUUGUAUCAUUUUUUUUUAAACCCCAGAGUCUACAUAUUUAAAAUUGAGCUUAAGUUAACUAGAAGACUGGAAUUAACCUUUCUUGUUUCCUGACAGGGUAAGAUGAUAAUGCAAGAUAAAUUGGAAAAAGAAAGGAAUGAUGCUAAAAAUGCAGUUGAGGAAUAUGUGUAUGAGUUCAGAGACAAGCUGUGUGGACCAUAUGAAAAAUUUAUAUGUGAGCAGGAUCAUCAAAAUUUUUUGAGACUCCUCACAGAAACUGAAGACUGGCUGUAUGAAGAAGGAGAGGACCAAGCUAAACAAGCAUAUGUUGACAAGUUGGAAGAAUUAAUGAAAAUUGGCACUCCAGUUAAAGUUCGGUUUCAGGAAGCUGAAGAACGGCCAAAAAUGUUUGAAGAACUAGGACAGAGGCUGCAGCACUAUGCCAAGAUAGCAGCUGACUUCAGAAAUAAGGAUGAGAAAUACAACCAUAUUGAUGAGUCUGAAAUGAAAAAAGUUGAGAAGUCUGUUAAUGAAGUGAUGGAAUGGAUGAAUAACGUCAUGAAUGCUCAGGCUAAAAAGAGUCUUGAUCAGGAUCCAGUUGUACGUGCUCAGGAAAUUAAAACAAAAAUCAAGGAAUUGAACAACACAUGUGAACCCGUUGUAACACAACCGAAACCAAAAAUUGAAUCACCCAAACUGGAAAGAACUCCAAAUGGCCCAAAUAUUGAUAAAAAGGAAGAAGAUUUAGAAGACAAAAACAAUUUUGGUGCUGAACCUCCACAUCAGAAUGGUGAAUGUUACCCUAAUGAGAAAAAUUCUGUUAAUAUGGACUUGGACUAGAUAACCUUAAAUUGGCCUAUUCCUUCAAUUAAUAAAAUAUUUUUGCCAUAGUAUGUGACUCUACAUAACAUACUGAAACUAUUUAUAUUUUCUUUUUUAAGGAUGUUUAGAAAUUUUGUGUAUUAUAUGGAAAAAGAAAAAAAGCUUAAGUCUGUAGUCUUUAUGAUCCUAAAAGGGAAAAUUGCCUUGGUAACUUUCAGAUUCCUGUGGAAUUGUGAAUUCAUACUAAGCUUUCUGUGCAGUCUCACCAUUUGCAUCACUGAGGAUGAAACUGACUUUUGUCUUUUGGAGAAAAAAACUGUACUGCUUGUUCAAGAGGGCUGUGAUUGAAAUCUUUAAGCAUU